rnacentral:lncRNA from 1 species
UUGAUUAAUUAGUUGUAUGUUUUAAUAUGCCCUUUUAAUCAUGCUGUGAUAUGGUUGAUAUUUCUCUUUCAAGCAAACCUUGCAAUAGAAGGUUUUCGACAAGCUUUGAUUCAAAUAGUGAUUUUGUGAACAUAUUUGCUUACAUAAUGGUUGUAGAGCAAUAGCAAAAUUAAACUUUGUUGAAGUUUGCAAACUGCCAUAUAAAAUAAUAUCAAAUAACAAUAUAUUUGGAUUAUAAAAUUUGAUUAUGCAGAAUGAUACAAAAGCAGAUUGGUUCUUAUAAUGGAUUAGGGUUGAUUGCUUUAGGAUUUCAUCUUGCUCAAGAUCUUCAAGUAAAUAAUAUAGACAAACCAAUUUGGAAGCAGUAAUAGCUAUUGCCAUGUAUUUCGUCUU